GGCCAGGUAGCUUAAUGGUAAAGCGCCGAUUCUCUACAUCCGACUGGGUCGCUCAGGGUGUGCCACUCCUAAGGGGUGAGCAAUUCGGAAAAAGGCAGCAGAGCUGACCUUUGGUACCACCGAAGAUGCAAGUUCGAGUCUUGCUCUGGCUA
rnacentral:tRNA from 1 species